UCCCUCACCUCAUUCUUCCUCACCAAACCUUCACCAAACCUUCCUCACCUCAUCUUCUCUCACCUCAGCCUCCCUCACCUCAGUGCUCCUCGCCGGGACCUUCCCCACCAUGACCUCUCUACAUUCUCUCCCCAGGGUUCCAGGUUCUUUCCAGGUUCUCCUUCCUGGACACUCUUGUUCCAUCACACAGGGCUGAGAACCACCGUUGUCCCCACAGGGACCUUCCUGGGGUCUGGCUGAGGAGCUGGCCAAAGAGGCUCAGUGUCCAGCUAAUUAGCAUGAAGGCCUUGCUCCUGAUGAGGAAUUAAUUAGCGUGGGGCUUGCUCAAGGUGCAGACCCCAAGCUGGUGGAGAAGAGUGAAGCCUCCUCUUCUCUCCCCAAGACUGAAGCCACCUCAGAUGGGCUUGUGCCUCUCCUGAGCUGUUCAGAAGGGGGUUGUGCCCACCACCCAUGACCACCACCACUGCCCAGGGAGGUUGUGGAAGCCCCAUCCCUGGAAAGUAGGUACCUCCUCAACCAGCAUCACAACCUGGUUCUCCCCACAAGAACCACAGCCUGGGAGCAGAAGAACCUGCCAGGAUGGAAACCUCAACCCCAGCUGCUGGGAAUACCCUUCCUGGGCUGAAGCAGGAGGGUGGGAAAUGAUCAAAUCCCACCUCCAGGCAAGACAAAGGAGGCAACAGGGGGGAGGGGGGUGUCACCGUGUGAAGAGGUAGAAGUUUAUUGGAAUAUAAACAUUCAGAUAAAACGUGUAAGAUAGAAAAAAACCCAACAACAACAUAUACAGACACUUGUUGGAAGGAGACGUUGAGGUAUUUAUCCACCGCCUAGGCUAUCACAUUUCUUUUUUAUUCCUUUUCUUUAUUUUUCUUUAAAUAGGUAAGAAAACUAGUAGCAAGGCUGCUGCAGCUGUUUGGUGAAAACAUCUGAUCCCAAUCUAUCUGGAGCACACACCCCCCCCCCCCUCCCCCAGCAGCCAAAAGGACUUGGUGGGACAUGUUCAAUUUCACUUUGGGAGCCAAGCAGGCCCCCAGCCUUCCUCUCCCUUCUCCUCUUCCCCAGCUCCUCAUCUUGAUGCCUUCCCAGCACCAACUGGGAGCUGCUGGAAGAGGAGGAGCAAGUUUUGUGUUUGCCCGUGGAACCCAGCUGGUAAAAAUUCUCCUUCCUCCUGAAAGAGAAGCAGGGUGGGAAGCAAGCUGGGGGAGAGGAGGAGGAGGAAGAGGCUUCUGGUUUUGUUUUGUGGCUGCUCGGUGUGAAACCUUGGCUGGUCUGGAGUGGAAGGAGAAGAAGGAGCCCCCAGAGAGGAGCUCUCCCCACCAGGAACCGUCCUACCCGCAGUAUCAAAACCCCUGAGUACUUUACAAUCAAAGCAAAACCGCAGCGUGAGCCCUGGGGAGGGGAGAAGGGGGGUGGGGGGGGUGGGAUGGAGAGGGGGAUCCCACCACCCUUGCUCAGCCUCCCCCAGCUUCCCCUGCCCUGGUCUCUGCUGCUGGUUUCCAUCACCCUGCUCCCCAAAGCCUGGCAAGCUCAGCAGGAGAUCCAGAAGCUCAACACCAAACCUGUGGAGCCAAGGACCAGGAAUGGGAAGCCAGGCUUGGGGCAAGGGGUUCACAGUCUGAAGGGUUGGUCCUUACCAGCACCUACUGGGACAAGGACCAGUUUCUUGUUGCAGCUUAGUUUGGUUUUUUUUUUGUGGUUUUUUGUUUUUUUUUUUUUAAAACUGAGGUAUCUGUUACAUCCCGACUUGAUUUCUUUCCCUGAAUUGGAUACAAAACAAUCUGUUACUCCCUGUCUCUUUUUUUUCCAGUCUAGUUGUGUAAAGCUUAUUAAAACAUUAAUACUCUAGUAGUGUCAAAAA